GAUGAACGCUGGCGGCGUGCUUAACACAUGCAAGUCGAACGAUGAAGCCCAGCUUGCUGGGUGGUUUAGUGGCGAACGGGUGAGUAACACGUGAGUAACCUGCCCUUGACGCUGGGAUAAGCCUGGGAAACUGGGUCUAAUACUGGAUAUGACUUCUCAUCGCAUGGUGGGGGGUGGAAAGAUUUAUUGGUCUUGGAUGGACUCGCCGCCUAUCAGCUUGUGGGAGAGGUAGUGGCUCACCAAGGCGACGACGGGUAGCCGGCCUGAGAGGGUGACCGGCCAGACUGGGACUGAAACACGGCCCGGACUCCUACGGGAGGCAGCAGUGGGGAAUAUUGCACAAUGGGCGCAAGCCUGAUGCAGCGACGCCGCGUGAGUGAUGACGGCCUUCGGGUGGUAAACCUCUUUCAGUAGGGAAGAAGCGAGAGUGACGGUACCUGCAGAAGAAGCGCCGGCUAACUACGUG
rnacentral:rRNA from 1 species